UACGAAGGGGGCUAGCGUUGUUCGGAAUCACUGGGCGUAAAGGGCGCGUAGGCGGCCGGUCAAGUCGGGGGUGAAAGCCUGUGGCUCAACCACAGAAUGGCCUUCGAUACUGGACGGCUCGAGACCGGAAGAGGUCAGUGGAACUGCGAGUGUAGAGGUGAAAUUCGUAGAUAUUCGCAAGAACACCAGUGGCGAAGGCGGUUGACUGGGCCGGUUCUGACGCUGAGGCGCGAAAGCGUGGGGAGCAAACAGG
rnacentral:rRNA from 1 species